UGAAGCAACAAGCGGCGUGAGGGCGUAAAACAAUCCACAUUUUUGACCUGUAAGUUGUAUUGUUCUUAGCUUAGCUUUAAAACAGUCGCUAGAAAUCAGAUAACAGAUAACGUACCUUGGAUGAAAAUACCACAAAAUUACUAAAAACUCCCUUUUUGCUACAUGAAAGGAAUAUACAAGAAGUCGUGUGGCAUGAAAAUGGCACUUGUUUUUGUCACUUUAAUUUCAACCACCCGAAUUUAUUACAUUCAGUCCCAAGUGCCAUCUUUCCUGCGACACGACCCCUUUAUCUCCUAUUCUUCUUCUUCUAUUUUUAUAACAAAACACACACACACAGACAAAUCAUUUCUCUCUCUCUCUCUCUCUCUAUAUAUAUAUAUAUAUAUAUANNNNNNNNNNNNNNNNNUUUUAUGGAAGAAGAUAGGGAGAGAGGUAUAUAUAGGGAGGUGAUGAGAGUUGGCUUCUAAUUUGUUUUGAAUAAUGAUGAGCAUAUAUGGUUGACUUUUGACUCGACUCUCCUUUUGUUUUCUUCUUGCAUGCAUUGACCGUUUUAUGUUAAUUAAUUAUUUUUUUUUUUAGAUCAUCUUUCUUUUCUUGAUGUGAAAUGUGCCAAUGUGGUAUAAAAGGGUCAGUGAAGUUUUAAAUCAAAAUAAAUUUGAGUAAAUGAAUUUGUUUCUUCAAAUCAUGGUCCUUUUUUUGAUGUGAAAUGUGGUAUAAAAGGGCCCCACUUGCCAUAAACCAUAUAGUUGGUAACAAAAUAAAUCCGGUUAGGCUUAUCGUGGCUUGGUCCUCAAUGUUAUGUUCAGUACCUAACAAUAUAAAUUUGAGUAAAUUACAAAUUUGGUCCCUAUUUUUUACGCAAAGGGUAAAUUACACCAAUCCAAUCGUCCCUUGUCCACAUGCCAAAAAGCAUGUUCGGUCCCCAUUUUCAAAAAUUAACUCGGACUGUCCCUCAUUUGCUUAAAACUUGCACACUUCGUCCCUGAUAUGCUUUUUUCUUGCAAAUGUAGUGCAUUCCUCAUUUGAAAUGACAAUAAUGCCCUUGGAUAUUUUAUUUUUUAAUUACUCUAAUAUUAUUUAUUAUUAUUUAUCAAUUAACAAAGAAGAUAAAAAAACAACUCUCUAUAAUCUCAUCUCUCUCAGUUACACUGGAAAAUACCACUACCCCCUCCAAAACACACUAAAGUGGGAUGGGUUAGGAGAGGAGAAGACAAUUGGAGUGCAAAAUCGAUACCCUCUCGCCGGAAUAAUUAGAGGCGGCUAGGGUUUAGUCGUUGCCAAUUUGCAUGCUAAGUUCAGAUCUGUAACCCUACGCAACUGCCAAAGAGCUCUCAACCACCACCGACUGCCCCUGAUUGAUCCACUAGACCAUCCGAUAAGCACGACAACAAGCGAUUUCUAAAACUGACUUCCGACGGCCAAACACGAGGUCUCGUCACCGCCUUGGUUGUUUCUAACCAAACUCCAACCUCCUCAUUUGUUUUUCCCCACGAUAGCACCCUAUAUCUAACUGUUUAGAAGAAAUCAAAGCAAUAUCCAAUUGAUUAGGCUUCAACUCAAAGGAAAUCGAACUUGCAUUAGAAGUUUUUUUUUUCCUCCAUACGAGAGGUUCUUCAACAUAUUCAUA
rnacentral:lncRNA from 1 species